ACACGGGGAUCCAGCCCCGCUCCCAGAAAACAAGGCGCCAGCAAAAAGCUUUUUUCACCCGUUUCUCGAGAAAUGUUCACUUUCGCCCUCCAGACGUGGGUGGGAUGAAGGCAGGGUGUAUUUUCCAGCGCAACGUUUGGAUUGCCCCCUCGGUUUUUACUUCGACGGGAGCAAAACGCCAAUAAUAAUAUUUGUGAGGAAUAACUAAAAUUCUGCGGCUUUCUCCCCCGCUCUCCUUUAUAUAAAUAAAAUGCCCCAAACACGAGGAGCACAGAUGCUCUCUCCAACACAGCAGGGCAGCGCAGAGUAAAUUCAGGGACCCUCUGAGGAUUUAUUUCACCGUCGCAGCCGAGAUUCUGAUAAAGACAAAAAUUCCUUCCCGGAUUCUUUUGCAUAUGUCAGUCAGGAGAGGUCGAGCCCCGUGCUCGGACAGCUCAGAGCGCGUCUGUUCUUCAUCUCCUGAUCCCAUAGGGACCUCAGCACGGGUCGGCAUCCCCCAGGCAUGGGCACGGGGAUGCUCACGCGGGAGGUGACACUUUCUGCAUCCUUCCUAUUCUUCAUUUCCCUCCCUAUGGGUCUUCCCAGUGGCUAAAAGGAGCAGAAUCGGGGAUUGCGCACAGGUGUGGGUUCCCACCGACCCAGCCCAGGUUUGCACAGCAUCCUCAUCCCCGCAUCAAGGGGUACUCAAGACCUUCCACCACCCCCGUGGGCAAAGAGAAGGAAGCAAUGAAGGGACUGCAACAGCCACAACGAGCCACGCUUUUACUCGGAGAUUUGGGAAAAGGCGGCUGCCCAAAGAACCAAGCUCUGUGACUUUCACACCCAUCACCGACCCAACCUGGCCGCUGCCACAGAGCAGUGGGCACCGGGGGCUGCGGGAGAUGCCCGGGGAUGCAGCAUCCUGGCAGGAACCGCUGCCCGGCGUCUGCCACCCGCUGCUGAGGUGAGCAGCAAAACGAGAUCCUACUAUUAAAAGUGCCCGGCGCUGGCCACGUUUCCACCCAUGACAUCAGCGGGGUUAUCUGAGUCUAACCAUGGGCAGGGCUUGGCCACGAGCCCCCAUGCCGUUAUCCUUUUUAGGCCAAACUGAGCUGAGAUUUUGAUGGGGCCACGCAGUACCAGAGCCCGCUUUUGGCUCCCGGCUGCUCCAGGAAAGCACCAACCAUCCGAGCUCAGCUAUUUUUUGCCCAGCUCACAGCCAUGGCCCUGGCAGAGCACCCCAGUGCCGUGCAAACAGGAGCAGGCCCCGCUCCAUCCCCUGCUCACGGCUCAGCAAGGGCUCCACGUGCUCCUUGCCCUCUCGAGCUGCCCGCAGGCUCUGGGGCUCUGCCCAUCCCCAAGCUCAGAGUGAGACCCAACUCUUCCUUCCCCUUCGAAUCUCAGCCCUUAGAGCCAAAGCUGAGGUUUUCAGCAACGCGUGACCAAAGGCCGAUGGAUAAAGUUGGAGAGCCCUUCCUGCAGCGAACCCUGGCCGCGCACUUCCACCAACUGCAAGCUGCAUGUUCCCAUAACCAAGAAAUGCAAAGUUACGGUGCGUCCCCCCAUGCUCCCCCUGAUGCCCCCCACUGCGUCCCCCCCCGCCACAUUCACGCUGCGUUUAGACCUGAGCAGCCCAACCCGUUGUUUUUCACUCGCACCAGCGUGCAAACCCUCCGCCAGACAGCAGCAAGGUGACACACGCUGCUCCCCCCCUCCCUCCUCCCCCGUCCGAGCCAACAUGACUAACACCACAGCAUGCUACCAGCAUCCACAGCGAGCUGGGCUCCCCAGGAAAACGCAGGCACAUCACCAGGGCCUGAUCCUGCCCGCCCCGCUCGGGGUCCCCCUCCCACAGCAGCAUCAAAGGAAAUGUCAGAACUUUGGGCAGCCAGCCCCACUAUUAAACCAACAGCGCUGGCAGAUGGGCGCUGGCUGGGGGUGCGUGACCCUGCAUCCAUCCGCUGACCCUAUAGCAGGACUACGUGGGUUUUUUUUUGGGGGGGGGACGCUGCAGGGAGAUGCUUUCAGCCCCAGCACCAACUGCAGCACUCCGCUAUCAGCACCGGGCACUGCACAGCCGUGAUUCCGGGGGUUCUGCAAUUCGGCAAAAACAAAACCCAAACAACCCCCCCCCUCCGCCUUCCUCCUCCCCCAGUUCCCAGAGCCCCAGCACUGAUUUAAAGCCCCGGCGGCCGCGCUGCGCGGUGGCAGCGCUGCGGGCUCGGCCCCAAUUCCUCCUCCCAGGGCUCGGCGCCAGGCGACUUCGCUAAAAGUUUGUUCUUCCCCCUCCCCGAGCCCUGAGCUCUGCAAUAUCGCUUCUGCUGAACGCCAGACGCAGGGAGGCAUUCGCCCUUACAAGCCAAGACUUGACUCCGGCACCGAAACGAUGGCAAACUCCCGCUGGAAAGAGCAAGAGGAACACCGAGAGAGGAUCCAUCUUGCCUCGCCGUCACGCGGAGCUGCAGAAGUUAAAGCCAAAGGAAGCGCCUUGGAUCCUCCUUAUCCUCUGCUCCUGUAAUUUCUGCAUGUCCAAACAGAUUUUGGAGCCUGUUUAUAACUGGUAACUUCGUUUGCUCCCGGGCUGGGACCUGAAAUGCCAAGUUUCAUCUCCAAGUCAGUUUUUAAGGCCGCGUUGCAUUAACUCCUGGGAGCAAAGGAGAAUAAAAAAAAAAAAAAAGGAAAGGAAAUACUACGUAAGGAUAUAAGAGAAAAUUGGGGGUGUUAGAAAGGGCCAAAAUAUGGGUGGGUUGGCAUGGCAAAAGUCGCAGGUCUUGGGGACACCUGCCUGCUGGCACUGAUGGCUGCAGAGCUCUCGGCAGCGUUUGAUCCGGGGCCAAAAAUCCACUUCUGUCAAUUCGAACCCAAGGAAUUACCGUAACUGGGACAUUUCAUGCUCCUCUCUCAUCAAGCUCUUUAGAGCAAAUUAAAUUUCUCCCUAACCAGCCUGUAACAGUUUGUGUUAGAUGUGGAUCUAAAUGUUAAUUGCAGUGACAAUAACAGGUCUGAUCCUGCAGUCCUUAUUUGGGUAAAACCUCCCACAGAAGCCAAAGGAAUUUUGCCCCAGAGAAGACAGCUGGAUGCAGUCCCACAUUUCCCGUCUCCUGAAGAUGCCAGAAGCUGUGCACUUGCUCGCAAAGAGCCGAAGCCACGGAGGGGAGAGGUGGACGCUGCAGGUCGUUGGCUUGUCCCUCUGCUGGAUGCAAGGACCUGGAGGUCCUCCCCCAUCCUGGAGAGCUGUAUGGGAAGCCUCGUGCGCUUCUCGUUCCCUCUGCUCUUGGGCAACGCGAAUUCCUUCAAAUGUGAGGCCCGAAGGAAGGCGGUUCUACGUGAUGGGAUGAUGCGGGGCCUCCCUGUCCUCAUCGGUGACUCCAUCACUCAGUCCCAGCUGGGUUUGGCGAAGGGAUGCCCCAUAUUCAGUCGGUGUCAUCCAGACACUCUUACAGCUCCCAGAGAUGAGGCAGAAGCAGCAGCACCGUGCAAGAACCCCAGAGCCUGGAGAGGGUGCAGUCCAUCCCCAUCCAGGCCCAUCCUCACAAACCCAAAGAGCUGCAGAAGGUGGAACCCCCUCCGAGCACACGCAGACCAACAAAAACUCAAAGGCACAAAGCAUUUCUUCAGCGCUGGAGAUUCAAAUCCCCUGCUUUGUUUGGUGCUUUUUCCCCAGCAGCAUUUAACAAGCUGAUGAUGUUUGUUUAUGAAGUGAAAUGCACAUGAUUUAUUUGAUCUGCUGGAGCUGGAGAGCUGCAUUCCCACGCCAGGGACAGGCAGAGACGCUGCUGCCUCCAUCCCCUCAUUGGAAACUGCUCGGAUAAAGCACUGUGCAGUCAGAGGCACUGCGCUGCACUUUCAGCUCCUUCAGAGCAGGACAUUAAAUGCUUAUUAGAGACCUCCCCACUUCCCAGCCAUAAAGCUGCACUUGUUCUUGUCUGUCUCUGCACGUGGAGACGGCCUUAAUGAAGCGUUCCUGCAGCUGACACAGGUUUGGGGAGGAGGUCUUGGGGCACCUGGGCUGUAGUCUGGGUCUGGUUUGAGUGAUGGUGGGGAGGUUCUUCCUCUUGUGCUUUGCUGGUGGAUUGGGUUGAACAUGUCUCACCCGAUUUGCAGGGACGGUGGUUUAAUUAAUUGCUUUGCAAGAAGAUUCUGUAGAGGGGAAGUCUAGUUCUGCCUUUUACAACACCUGGAGAUGUACUUCAUCUCAUCACCCAGACCAGAGCCUGACUGCCAAGGAAGCCACAGAAACCGAUCCAUUAACUGAUGGAAGAAAAAGUGCAGGACGUGAACUAUGAGACUUACAGCUCCCUGGGGAGCACACAUCGAGCAUCACCCAUCCUGCAGGUGGGACACGAGCCAGAUCCUCACCUGGUGUAAGCCAGCAGCACAUGGCCCAGGGCUGGCCACCAGCUGAGGUCCCCUUCCCCCAACUGGGGCUGCAAUUGGGCUGUGCCAGCUGUGAGCAACCUCACCACAAAGCCUUGCCCCAGAGCUUGAGGAUGUGACCCAGCCACUACCAGGGCCUUCCCCCCGUCCCUGCAUACAAAACACUUUGCAAAUGAAGGGUGAAGAUAAUAUGCUUUAUCACAGGCAUUUAUUACUGGUGAUUGUUGAAUAAAUCUCCCUCCAUUCACAUACAUAUACAUAAGGUGUAUAUAAAUAUGCAGCUAGUAUCCGGCCCAGAGCCUUUUUGACGAUGUCAGUGUAGCCCCCAUAAAGAUAGUGGGAAAUGAUUCAUAAUAUUUAUAUGACAGACACGAUAUGAACUGUAAUAGCCUGUUGGGAUCGAGAAUAUCCAUAGGUCUCUGUCAGCCACAAAUGUGAUUUAAAUAUUAUAUAUGUGGCAACUGUAGCAUUAGUAAUAUGAUAGCUGUUAUUGAUAGUGGUCAUAAAACGCAGUAGUUUUGCGCUGAAGAAUGUGAAAAAUAAUCUAGUGGUUUUCCUAAUGGUCUCCCCAGCAAUGUGCUGAAGGAAGUGUACUUUCAGUGCCUCUUCUUUCAAUGCCUCCCCUCCCCCCCCCCACCCCAAACUGCCCUCGGGUUCUAUCAGAUUACUGCUGGGGCCUGGGGCUGGGGGUGUUCUGCUGGGGGGCGUGGGGCCAGGGUUUCCUCCUCUGCAUGGAAUAGGGCUCAGUGCUGCCAUGCUGGGUGCAAAGGGGAGGUUUCGUCCAGUGCCUGCUCAAGGUUAUUCCCUCCUUUGCAACAGCAAAGAGUCAUCAGCGAGCAUGGCUUUGCCCAGCCCCACAGGAGAGCUGAUACCAGCGAGCCUCACCUUCUUGCUGUCUGAGCAUCACACAGACACACAACGGCUGGGUAUUGCACCAUGGGUGGGAGCUCAGGGACCCCCAUUGUGAGGGACCAGCACCCAAGCAGUGACACGCAGCAAAGGUCCUCAUCCCUCCUCACUAUCAGCAUGCCUUCCUCUCCCAUCUUGGUCCUGUUCUUUCCUGAGAGCAAACGAAUGUGGAAAAUCACUCCACCCACAGCCGUUGGUUACAACAGCUCCUAUUUUUCCUCCCUUAGCAUAAGCAAGAGAGGACGUAGCUUGCUCAGGUGGAUGCAGCAAUCACGGUCUUGCUUUGGUGGGGUCUGCAGGGGGCUUGUGGAACCAUCCCCAACACCAGCACUGCGCUGGUCAGGCGCAGCCUCCAGGGCAGGUAUCAGGAUGCCCGCUGCAUCCCUUCACAUCACAGAGAAUAAAUCAAGGCAACGAAACAUCCUCCAAGCAGCAACGGAAUGGAGGUGGGGCUGAGGAAGAGAGAAGGGUGAGGGCAGCAAGCGGCUCGGUCCCCGCUGACACCCAGCAGAGCCACGCGUCGCUUCUCAGUGACCUGCUGCGGGUUUCCAACUUUGACAACAAAGUGCAUUUUAUAGAAGAAAGCAAAAGCGCGUUGCAACGUGAGGGUCCGGGUGUAAUGCGACAGCAGUUUUCUGCACCAUUUGCACUGCAAACGGGCUGAUCUUCCUCUUCCUCACCCUGGUGGGAGGCAGGCUUUGCUCCAGGGAGAGCUGUGGGCCCAUUUCUGCCGUCGUUUGCACCGACAUAAAUCAGGAAUUUACUCAGUUGAAAUAAGUGGGGCUGCACCAGUAUAAAACCAGUGUGAGAUCGGAAUUACAGUGCCAUAAAAGCAGCGUGAGAUUAGAAUCAGCCUCAGUAUAUUACAGCGAUGGUUUGAGGAAAGCCUAGGGAAAUUACUAAUAUUGGAAUCGGAAAAAGAAGAGAAAAAAAUGGCAUAUGAUUUCCUGAUGAUUUGGGAAAUCAAAUCCUCAAGGCCAGCACUUGUGUUCCUCCCUCCCGCCGCGAUGCCAGCACUGGUGAGAGCCGUGCCAGAGCGGUGAUUCUGUAUUAUUCCUCUUCUGGAUGAAGCAGCUGGGAGAUGCUUUGCGUGAAGACGCCGUAUAAAAAUAAAUGGAAUUGAAUUAGGGAAACAACUGAAGUCGUUUCUUCUCCAUCCUCACGUUAAUCCAUUUAGGCCGAUUCUUUGGAUG